UCUGGUGAUUUUAGCGGGAAGGAAAUACCCGUUUCCAUUCCGAACACGGAAGUCAAGCUUCCCAGCGCCGAUGAUAGUCCGCAUGGGCGAAAGUAGGUCAUUGCCAGUU
rnacentral:rRNA from 1 species